rnacentral:lncRNA from 1 species
UGAAUAACCAUGAAUAACAAUCUUCAUAUUUUUCAAAAAUUACAAAAAAAAAUCACCGUACUUGUUGAAUCUGUAAGAUAUAUAUAGAGUUUAAAUUAAGGGAUACAGGGGUAGAAUUGAACCUCAAAUAUCUCUUAAUUUAUAUUUCAACACCAAUUGAAAUGAAAGAUCUUUUUUUUAAUGGCGUGUUGUUGUUUGGUUGGCUUACCGGAGUUGUCAGAGUUAGUGAUGGAGGCGGUGGUCUUUUGCCAAUGAAAUUUUGUGAAAAAAUCAGAAUUGAGGGAGUUAAUCUGGUUGGGAAUGGAGGGAGUAUAUUGUUGUUGCUAAUUUUGGGUGCUAAUGGAGAAGUUUCUCCAUUCUCUUACCAUUGAUGUCAAUGGUGAAAAAGAGAAAAAUUUGUCUCCUUC